rnacentral:rRNA from 1 species
UAGAGUUUGAUCCUGGCUCAGAACGAACGUUGGCGGUGUGGAUUAGGCAUGCAAGUCGAACGAAUGCUAUCUGUGUAGCAAUACAUGGGUAGAGGAAGUGGCGAAAGGGAGAGUAACGCGUAGUUACGUACCCCGAGGCCCGGAAUAGCCACGGGAAACUGUGGGUAAUGCCGGAUAAUAUCUUAGGAUCAAAGAUGUGAUUUCACCUUGGGAGCGGACUGCGUCGUACUAGCUUGUUGGUGGGGUAAUGGCCUACCAAGGCGAUGAUGCGUAGCGGGUGUGAGAGCAUGACCCGUCUCACUGGGACUGAGACACUGCCCAGACGCCUACGGGUGGCUGCAGUCGAGAAUCUUCGGCAAUGGACGAAAGUCUGACCGAGCGACGCCGCGUGCGGGAUGAAGGCCUUCGGGUUGUAAACCGCGAAAGUAGGGAGGAAGGCUUCGUGAAUAACGAGGUUUGACCAAUCUAUACGUAGGGACGGCUAAGGACGUGCGCGCACGCGCGUGAAUGCGGGCCGGUCCACGAUCUUUUGUCCAUUUGGCGGCUGUCAGGGGGUGGUUGACGCCUAGGACGACCCGUCUCCUCCGUUUGGGCGGCUGCCAUUGUAAGUGUGCUGCAAGCCAGUCGGGCAAUGAGAGAUAUGGCGAAUAAGAGAACGAGACUCCCCCCACUAUGAUGUUCGUCACCCUCGAGGGUCGCGGCCGAUGCUAACAUCCCACUUCAGCUGACCCGUGACCCCGCACCAUAAUAGUGAGGAUGACGGUAAGGGAGGCUGUUUGGGCCCCUAGGCAUCUAUUAUCGGGGCUCGCGGUCCGAUGGGCGCGUCGACGACCCUGAGCAACUCAGCCGCCGC